UUUUUUUUUUUUUUUUGUGUGAUAGAAGACUAAUUUGUCUUUUCAUUCUCCUUUGGUUGACAAAAAAAUUUUUAUUAAUUAAUAGAGAUAAAGGAAGAAUGCUAGUUUAGUGAAGCAUUCAGAAAUGCCAAGAAUGUCGCUUUGUUUUCUUCACUAUUGAAAUCCAAUAAAAAGGAAAAAAUGAGGACAAACUAGUAAAAAAAAAAAAUAACUGAAUAAAAAAAACUGUAUUUCAAGAAAAAAAAAUCAAAGCAAAAAGUAAAUACGUGUUGAAAAAGAUGAACGAAGAAUAAACGCGAACCAGCUGAUAGUUUUCUCUGUAGGAUCCUUACGAUUUGGACCAAGUUCAGUGGGAGGUUCAACAGUAACUACCCACACUACACUAAUAUUUAGAGAUGAAUAAUUGGAAGGAAAUCAAUUUUCGUUUUCAGCAAAUUAGUGUGGUUUCUCGUUCCAAACAGAAAAGGAUUGAAAAAAAGAGUCACAGAUCUCCUUCUUUGUUUUUGCCGUUCAGGGUUUUGUGCUCUGCAUGCAAGGGGUAAAAAAACCAGAGCUUUUUGGUUUGAGAAAGCGCACGUCCCUAAAUUUGCUCCACGUUUGAGCGUUAACAACAACACGAUGCGCUUACAUGGACAGAAAAACUGCCAUUCUGCUAUCAUAGAUGGGUACAAAACUUACGUCGGGUGUGUGUCUCGGAAACUCGACUACAUGCGAUCAUGAGAGAAGCACACCCAUCAUUGCCCCUCCCAUAAAUCGAACUUGUGCAAAGGUUUGCUUUGGACCGUUGUUUCGGUUCUCCGAAUCGUCCAUGCAGUUGGAGCACUCCGCUUUCGAAAUUAGUGGUGGUUCCAAUCACCGACCUUUUUUUUUUCUUUCUUUCACUGGAUCAAACAGUUUAACGUUCACAGAUAGUGGAUAGGUAUGUCUUUGUUUCUUGCAGUUGCAGAUUUAUGAAGAAAGACGAGAACGUGCUUAUGGUGCCUGCUAAUCGUCUUUAUAUGAUGCAAGUUAACAUGUAGACUUUAUGUUAUAUUAACUUGUAUGAUGCAAGUUAACAUAACAUUGUGUAAAAAAUAAUUUUGGUGCCUGCUAAUCGUCUUUGUAAAAUUUAGCUUAGUAGUUUGAUCUAUUUGUCCCCUUUCUCCUUUGUACAGAAUAUCUAAUAAAAGUUAUUUGAAGCUGCAUCAUCUCUUAUCAGGUAAUACAAUGGAGAAGCUACAAGUGAUGCAUUUUACAUUGGAUAUGAGGCAUCAACAAAUUAAUGCUGGAUAGAGACAUGGAGGUAUGGGUAAUAUGGUUUGAACUUUCUAUUGUUUAGAUUUUGGUAACAAAAGCAAAUUUAAACAGCUCAAAAUGGCAACAAAAUGCAAAGUAAGGGGGUUUUACAUUUGAUUGAGCUUCUCAAUUCACUCUAAUUAGAUAUGAAUAUUUUUUUUCUUCCUUUUUGCCAGUGUCUGUACAUUUUAAUUACUACACUAUGCUCAUUCAAACACACUGCAUACUAUAAUCAUUCAAACACACUACAUACUAUACUCAUUCAUACACUCCCUUGCAGCUAUGGAAACAAGUAUUAAUGUUGUGGCGGCAUUAAAUUGAUACAAUAGUUCAGGUGGAAUGGAAAAGUGUAGGAUACAUGUCAAGAAAAAUAGUAGACAUUGUACUCUGAAACCACAAACCCUAUCAACUCCAUCUUUUAUCUUGCUGCUUAUUGUGCGGGUGCAGUUGGUUUCCUCCUUCCAUUUUGGUAUUGACUUCAUUUUUCUCUGCAAAUAUAGGUAGUUGAUUUUGGGUGAGAAUGACUCUCUUUUGUUUAACAUUGUGUAAUUGUAGUAAGAAAUUACUCUUUCUUUUUCUGCUUUCAUUAGAUUUCAUCAUCAAAAUCAUUCAACUUUCCUUGAUCAAUUUGACAGCAUCACAGUUAUGCUCUUAAAUUCUUUUUUUUUUUUUUUUUUUUUUUUUUUUUGAUACUUUGCAUUAUUUGUUGUUUAUAAACUGAAAGUUUCAAUGUGUGAAGGUUUGGGCAUAUGUCAAAGAGGGCAUCAUGGCUUGGACUUAUGCUUCAAGAAGACUCAUGACUCAUCUGUAAUCGAAAAAUCAUAGUUCAUGUUUUAAUUGAUUUCCUUUUUCAUAAUUUCAAAUGAACUUGAUCUCACAUAUAUUGAGUUCUGUAUUUUCUAACUAUAAUGCAUAAAGCUGUGGCAGAAGUCCGUAUAACGGAAAUUGUGAAUUAGCUAGGUAGGUAAAUGGGUUUGGAAAAUAACAAAAAGCUUCAGCAGCCAUCUGAGUUUGUGAUUGGUCUGCAACUUUUACAAUUACAUUAUUAUGUGGUAAGCUAGCAAAGAAGAAGAACUAUAAUUGUGUGGACAAAUUGGUUUAAUGCAAGUGAUAGUACCAAUUUGUGGUACUGUAUCAUAGUAUAAUAUCUACUAUUUGUGAUGGAGUGAUUUUUCAAUUACAGAUGUGAUAGAGUGAGUGGUAUUGUAUGUGAUCACAUAUCUUUGUAGAUUGUUUAAUAACUAAAAUUGUUCCUUGUAGUUUGAAUUUGUCAAAAUCAAAGUCAAGUUCAUUGUUACCUGGUGCAUGUUCCGCCAAUGCUUUGGAUGAUUGUGUUUGUGGAUGGUAUGACUCAAACCCAUUCUUGGCUUCAUAACGUGGAUGUUGAAUGGUACUUUUAGUUUUAUAUGCAAACAAAAUCUAACCUUAUAUUUGCUUUUGUUUGUUUUGGGAUUAAUAGAGCUGAGUAGAUUUGGAUUAAAUUUUGGUUGAACAGAUUGUGUAGUUGCGAGUCUUGAUCUGAUGGAUAGGAUUGAAUGAAAAAAUCGUGGAGCAUGAGAACCAUGGAAGCAUUGUAAAACUGCUCUGAUGGAUAGGAUUGUGUUGUUGAGAUUAUGGCAGAACCAGUGCCCCCUGUCUUGCCCAAUAUUGGAACAAUCCAACAAGGAAUACAAUGCAAAGAUUAAAGGGAGUAGGUUGUUAACCAUUGCCGAUCUUAAUUUUGCCUUCCCACUCCAUCUCAUCUCUCUCCUUUUUAGUAUCUAACCGUGUAACUUUCAAACCUUUUGUAGUAAUUUUUCAGUUCUAA